UACAGAGGGUGCAAGCGUUGUUCGGAAUUACUGGGCGUAAAGCGCGUGUAGGCGGCGUCGUUAGUCGGAUGUGAAAGCCCUCGGCUCAACCGAGGAAGUGCAUCCGAUACUGCGGCGCUUGAGUGUUGGAGGGGGUGGCGGAAUUCCCGGUGUAGAGGUGAAAUUCGUAGAUAUCGGGAGGAACACCUGUGGCGAAGGCGGCCACCUGGACAACAACCGACGCUGAGACGCGAAAGCGUGGGUAGCAAACAGG
rnacentral:misc_RNA from 1 species